CGCGCGCUCAUCAACCAGGUGCAGUUGCUUAUAUAUAUAUGACUUCGCUCCCAUAAAUAGGGGCGGAGUCAUGGGAAUCUGUAGUACUACACCUCUUGGCACCGGAAAAAGACCUUAUGAGACUUUGUCUUUUACAAUUUAAAUUCUAUGGCCUGAAAUCCAAUACAAAAUAGAAAAGAAAGCGAAAACUCGGAAACCGAAAGGGACUCCCUGGAUUCACCGAACGCAAUUUACAAGAACGACAACAAUAACAAACCGUUCGGAACCGUUCCUGGGGCUCGGGUUUGAAGUUUUCAGAAGCAAACAGAAGUCAAAACUCUCAAAAGGAGAACCGGUCGAGACUUUGAAGAGUGAACAUCAACGUGUAAGAGUGAUCAAUCUUUAAAAAGUACCGAACUCAGUGAAGUGAAAGCUUAUGAACGGAAACUUUGAUCUUGAUCCAGGUGAAGAACCUGGAAAAGACAAUGAAAUGAUAUACGAACACCAGAAAAACAGCAGAAGACGAGACAGUGAUAGCGAAGAUUGCCCAUACACCAAACAAGCAAGAAACGAAGAAA